rnacentral:rRNA from 1 species
GACGAACGCUGGCGGCGUGCUUAACACAUGCAAGUCGAACGGAAAGGCCCUGCUUUUGUGGGGUGCUCGAGUGGCGAACGGGUGAGUAACACGUGAGUAACCUGCCCUUGACUUUGGGAUAACUUCAGGAAACUGGGGCUAAUACCGGAUAGGAGCUCCUGCUGCAUGGUGGGGGUUGGAAAGUUUCGGCGGUUGGGGAUGGACUCGCGGCUUAUCAGCUUGUUGGUGGGGUAGUUGCUUACCAAGGCUUUGAAGGGUAGCCGGCAUGAGAGGGUGACCGGCCACAUUGGGACUGAGAGACGGCGCAGACUCCUACGGGAGGCAGCGGUGGGGAGUAUUGCACAAUGGGCGGAAGCCUGAUGCAGCAGCGCCGCGUUCGGGAUGACGGCCUUCGGGUUGUGAACCGCUUUCGCCUGUGACGAAGCGUGAGUGACGGUAAUGGGUAAAGAAGCACCGGCUAACUACGUG